rnacentral:misc_RNA from 1 species
GCGUCAUUGGCCCAAGCUACAAGACUUGUCCUCCACUUCACUGCAUGAAUUGGGCCUUCACCAUCAUGAAGAACCUGUUUGGUAUUAUUUCCUAGCCAAUUCUUUGAGUUCAAAAUUAAUUGACCAGCCAAUCCACCAGCGACAAAUCUUCGAGUACGGGAAUAAUCAGGGUCUAGAGCUAGGCUUUUCAUCGGACGACGAUACUCAAAUUUCAAUCUUUCAUCCGUAAAGAGGCUGUUAAUAACCACCAACCCAUCAUCUGAGCAGCUACCAAUAUAUUCACCUUCUGCAUCAAAGCUAAGGUCGUUGACCGUGGCAGUAUGUGCAGUGAAUUCUUUAACCUGAUUACCCUGGAAGUCGAGGAUGUGAAUAGUGCCGUCAUG